ACGAUCUGCCUAAUCUCAAGUCAUUCCUUCAAGUAUUACAUCUUCAAACUUUCAAACAUUCAAUCCCGAAAACAGUGACUCCAAAUCAUUGACAACAAAACAGAUCAUUCAUUUAUUCUUCCAAUUUUAUGAGCUGUCUGAUCUCAAAACCCAAAACCAUUAAUUCAAUAAUAAAACUCCAAACAAUCAAUUCGAUCACUACAUCACAAACAUUCAAUCACUCAACUCGGUUUCACAUAUCAAACAUUCUAUCACCAA
rnacentral:lncRNA from 1 species